CCUACGGGUGGCAGCAGUGAGGAAUAUUGGUCAAUGGGCGCGAGCCUGAACCAGCCAAGUAGCGUGAAGGAUGACUUCCCUACGGGUUGUAAACUUCUUUUAUAAAGGAAUAAAGUGAGGCACGUGUGCCUUUUUGUAUGUACUUUAUGACUAAGGAUCGGCUAACUCCGUGCCAGCAGCCGCGGUAAUACGGAGGAUCCGAGCGUUCUCCGGAUUUAUUGGGUUUAAAGGGAGCGUAGAUGGGUUGUUAAGUCAGUUGUGAAAGUUUGCGGCUCAACCGUAAAAUUGCAAUUGAUACUGGCAGCCUUGAGUACAGUUGAGGUAGGCGGAAUUCGUGGGGUAGCGGUGAAAUGCUUAGAUAGCACGAAGAACUCCGAGUGCGAAGGCAGCUUACUAAACUGCCACUGACAUUGAUGCUCGAAAGUGUGGGUAUCAAACAGGAUUAGAUACCCCUGUAGUC
rnacentral:rRNA from 1 species